rnacentral:lncRNA from 1 species
CCUGCAGGAUGACGUGACUUUCUCAAGAUGAAUGACUGAAGCCACAUCACAAACUGCAGAGCAUCUGUAGCUGAAGAUGAUGGUCAACACAUAAAGAGCGGUAGGUGAAUAUGGAAGGAGACAGCCAUCACUUCUAUGGCAGUCAUCCAGAUAGGCCAAGGAGUCACAGGGCGGAUGGGGACUGCCUAGGCUCUCCCUGGCCAAACACCAGGGCAGAAUUGGUUGGUAGAAGGUCUGUAAAAGAAUACAGUUCAGACUGAGCUAAGAAGACAAUAACUUAAAAGAAUCCUCAGGGCUGGGCAGAUAACUCAGUUGAUGAAGUACUUGCUCUGCAGGCACAAGAACCCAUGUCUGAAUCGCCAGAACCCACGUGAAAAAACAAAACAGCAGCAGCAAACAACAACAACAAAACAACCAACCAAACUAAAAACCCAGGUGAUGUGGCACUCCCAAUAUCGGUGAAGCAGGGGUAAGAGGAUCCAGGAAGCUUCGUGGCCAGUCAGUAUUACUGACUCAUCGAGCUCCAGGUUCAUCGUGAGACACGGUCUCAAAGAAUAAUCAAAGAUAAAAGUGUUGGGAUGGCUGCACUGUCCCCUCGCUAGAACGGAAUUCCUUAUCUCUGAAGUCAAGGUAAUCGGUGGCAGGAAGAUACAAAAGCGCAAAGGCGGACUGAAUGAAUUUAUGUGUACAAAAUAACAAACAGAAAAAGGCGGCUGACAAGGGCUGAGUGUGAAGAUCCGCCUUGCCACUUAGCAGUGUGUGAACUUGCUAAGCACCCCUGCCACCCUCCCAGAUCAUAUGCACAGCGCUGAUAGGAAAAUGCACUUCAGAGGGUUGUGAAGAGAACCAGAAUGUUCUCCAGGCUCCACCCAAUGCCAAGGGUCUAGCCAACAGACUGAGUUCCAGCUUCGCAACAGCAUCCUGACCAAAACCAGGUUUGUGUGGUCACCCUAUCCCAGCUCCUUCAGUCUCCAGGCAAACACUGCAGCACCUUUUUGCUUUGAGAACCGUGUCCUUCAUCUUGAAAAACCAAAGGCUGAGCUGGCACCACCGAGAGGCACUAGUAGAGUUAAUUAUCUGAGCCACAAAGAUCCAGAGGUACUAAGCGACAUCAGUAGUUUGUGACUAAGUACCAAACAUUCUUCCAUCUCAGCAUUGGCUCCCUGAUGGCAAACGUGGUGACGUAUGACUGGCCUUUAUUGUGUCUCAAAUACAGUCAAGCAGUGUUAUUUGU